UCAUGCUGAUGGUGCUGCGCCCGUCCUCCUCUAUAGGGCAGUUAAAAUCACCGCCCAGGAUUACUGCUCUGGUUGUGGCGAUCUGGGUCCGCAGGGUCUGGAAAAGCUCCA